rnacentral:rRNA from 1 species
UACGUAGGGGGCUAGCGUUGUCCGGAAUCAUUGGGCGUAAAGCGCGUGUAGGCGGUCCGGUAAGUCCGCUGUGAAAGUCGAGGGCUCAACCCUCGAAUGCCGGUGGAUACUGUCGGGCUUGAGUACGGGAGAGGAGAGUGGAAUUCCUGGUGUAGCGGUGAAAUGCGCAGAUAUCAGGAAGAACACCCGUGGCUAAGGCGGCUCUCUAGUACGGUACUGACGCUGAGACGCGAAAGCGUGGGGAGCAAACAGG